GACGAACGCUGGCGGCGUGCUUAACACAUGCAAGUCGAACGGUAAGGCCCUUCGGGGUACACGAGUGGCGAACGGGUGAGUAACACGUGGGUGAUCCGCCCUGCACUUCGGGAUAAGCCUGGGAAACUGGGUCUAAUACCGGAUAGGACCACUGCCUGCACGGGUGGGGGUGGAAAGCUUUUGCGGUGUGGGAGGGGCCCGCGGACUAUCAGCUUGUUGGUGGGGUGAUGGCCUACCAAGGCGACGACGGGUAGCCGGCCUGAGAGGGGGGCCGGCCACACUGGGACUGUGAGACGGCACAGACUCCUACGGGAGGCAGCAGUGGGGAAUAUUGCACAAUGGGCGCAAGCCUGAUGCAGCGACGCCGCGUGAGGGAUGACGGCCUUCGGGUUGUAAACCUCUUUCAGCACCGACGAAGCGCAAGUGACGGUAGGUGCAGAAGAAGGACCGGCCAACUACGUGCCAGCAGCCGCCGCGG
rnacentral:rRNA from 1 species